GACGAACGCUGGCGGCGUGCUUAACACAUGCAAGUCGAACGGAAAGGCCCCUUUGGGGGUACUCGAGUGGCGCACGGGUGAGUAACACGUGAGUAACCUGCCCUUGACUUCGGGAUAACUUCAGGAAACUGGGGCUAAUACCGGAUAGGAAUCCUUGCUGCAUGGUGGGGGUUGGAAAGCUUCGGCGGUUUUGGAUGGACUCGCGGCUUAUCAGCUUGUUGGUGGGGUAGUGGCUUACCAAGGCUUUGACGGGUAGCCGGCCUGAGAGGGCGACCGGCCACAUUGGGACUGAGAUACGGCCCAGACGCCUACGGGAGGCAGCAGUGGGGAAGAUUGCACAAUGGGCGGAAGCCUGAUGCAGCAACGCCGCGUGCGGGAUGACGGCCUUCGGGUUGUAAACCGCUUUCAGCAGGGGCGAAGCUUGUGGUGACGGUACCUGCAGAAGAAGCACCGGCUAACUACGUG
rnacentral:rRNA from 1 species